CAAAUCUCUUUUGCUUACCUUCGAUGAAUAUAAGCUAUAACAAAGGAUUUUCAGGUUUUAGACGGAUUUGGAAUUGGAAUUCUCUGGCCUUGGACUAUGUCAAGAUCUUACCCGUACGAACCUACUUGGUGUGAAGAAAACCAAGCAGUGCUUUUGGAAUUUAUCGUGUAUGUGUUGGAUCUGACUUGGAUUAGAGCUAAUGGUGAAUAUAUAAAGAAGAUGAACACAAGAGUUUCGUCUUCGUUGACGUACGAGAGAAAGAUUAAAGCCAAUCAUUUUGAGUUUUCUAAAUAAAUUUGUUUUUCUGAAUUCUGACACUUAGUUUCUUUAGUCAAAUUACUUUUGAAAAAAUGUAAAAGCAUCACUUUGUUUAACCGAAUUGUCAAUUUUUUGAAGAUUAAAACUGAUUAUUUCUAACCUUUUUUCUUCAUUAGGUUUCUAGGGUUUUUGUUGCUUUAGGGAUUUCUAGAAUUGGAGAUUUUUAGAAUUGGGGAACUUUGGGGGUUAACGGGUACUAAUUCGGGUUGGUUUAUGGGUAAAUCCGGUUUUGAAGUUUUUAUUUAUCGGUUAAUGUUGUUUCCGGUACAGUAAACCAAUAAUAAACAACGAAAUUAAAAAAUAUGGGGACCGAGAUCUUUAACUUUCGUUUUAGGGGGAAACUGGAGUUUAACUUUCGUUUCAUGUGGACUGGAAACGAGAUCUGAAAUCUGUGUAGAUAUGGUCAUAUAUGAAACUUGUUAGGGGAACACAUGUCGUUCACCCAAAAAUAAAAUAAAAAAGAAGCACAUAUCGAGGAUCAAACCUCAGAAGGUUAAGAUUAGCAUGGGGUAACAGUUACCAACAAAGCUAUAAACAUCUUAU
rnacentral:sRNA from 1 species